rnacentral:misc_RNA from 1 species
GAAAUGCGAUACUUGGUGUGAAUUGCAGAAUCCCAUGAACCAUCGAGUCUUUGAACGCAAGUUGAGCCCGAGGCCUCUUAGUCGAGGGCACGUCUGCCUGGGUGUCACGCAUCGUCUCCCCACUCCCCUCAGCUCACGAGGGCGGGGGCGAAUAUUGGUCUCCCGCGUGCUUCCGCUCGCGGUUAGCCCAAAAUCGAGUCCUCGACGAACCGGGAAAUGGUCGUGCGCGUGCUUGUCGCCCCUGGGAUGUCCUGGACCCUCAAGCAUCGACUUUCUAGGAUGCUCUCAUUGCGACCCCAGGUCAGGCGGUACUACCCGCUGAGUUUAA